GGCGCUAUAGUGUAGUGGGGUUAUCACUUGGGAUUCUGAUUCCCAAAACCCAGGUUCGAGCCCUGGUAGCGCCU
rnacentral:tRNA from 1 species